UAAAAUUCAUACCUUUUGGCUAAGAUCAAGUGUAUCUUAAUUUCUUAAUAGUUUAAUAUCUAAUAUGUGGGUAAUCAACUCACACCGUUACACGAUAUUAAUUUUUUUUAAAAAAAAAUAAAAUUUUAGGUUAUUAGUUAAAUUUUUUUUUUUAUCAAGUUGCCCGAGCCCGGUCCGAAAUAAACGGGCCUAGCUCGACUGACU
rnacentral:snRNA from 1 species